rnacentral:lncRNA from 1 species
AUGGCACUGGUACACACCCUCAUCCUCCUUUCGCAGGGGGUUGAUCAAAAUCCAGGCCGUGGCCUCAUGGUCAGAAGGGCCCCCUCGCACUUGGACAGCUAUAUUGACAUGGUCCCCAGGCAGCUCCUCCAGUGCUUGGGUGCCCUCAGGGGACUUCGUGACCUUUCUCCACGUGAUGACUGGGGUAGGCACAGCCCUCACUUCACAGGACAGGCCCACCUGCGCCCCGGUGACGUUGUGAACACUUCGGGGAGGAACGACGACCACAGGAGCGAACUCGCAAGGGCCGUCGCGCGCCUUGUGCAGCAUAUAACAUCAAGUUUCCACAGGAAUUCCCAUAUUCCCACCAAUUGGAGAGAAAAAAAAAGCAGAUGCCAGAACAUAGAGAUCAGAUGCUGCCACACUGCCUAGAGACUGGAAAUGACAGCCUGCAACAAGCCACACCUGAAGGCUGCUCUUGAGGGCAGGAAAACAGAAGGUCCAAGGAGAAGGAAAACGCUGUUUUGGUUCCAUUUGAACCAAAAUGCUGGUAAAUGUUCACUUCAACUUUUUGUGGUUUUGUGUUCAUUUCAAA